AUUGAACGCUGGCGGCAUGCCUUACACAUGCAAGUCGAACGGCAGCACGGGAGCAAUCCUGGUGGCGAGUAGCGAACGGGUGAGUAAUGUAUCGGAACGUACCUUUCAGUGGGGGAUAACGUAGCGAAAGUUACGCUAAUACCGCAUAUUCUGUGAGCAGGAAAGCAGGGGAUCGCAAGACCUUGCGCUGAUUGAGCGGCCGAUAUCAGAUUAGCUAGUUGGUGAGGUAAAGGCUCACCAAGGCGACGAUCUGUAGCGGGUCUGAGAGGAUGAUCCGCCACACUGGAACUGAGACACGGUCCAGACUCCUACGGGAGGCAGCAGUGGGGAAUUUUGGACAAUGGGCGCAAGCCUGAUCCAGCCAUGCCGCGUGAGUGAAAAAGGCCUCGGUU
rnacentral:rRNA from 1 species